GACGAACGCUGGCGGCGUGCUUAACACAUGCAAGUAGAACGGAAAGGCUCUGCUUGCAGGGUAUUCGAGAGGCGAACGGGGGUGUAAACCGUGGGUGAUCUGCUCUGUAAUUCGGGAUAAGCCUGGGAAACUGGGUUUAAUACCGGAGCGGAGACAUUAUAAGUGUGAUUGUUGGAAAGUUUUUUAGGUGUAGGAGUAGCUCGCGGCCUAUCAGCUUGUCUGUGGGGUAAUGGCCUAUCAAGGCGGCGACGGGUAGACGGCCUGAGAGGGUGGACGGCCACAUGGGGACUGAGAGACGGCCCAGACUCCUACGGGAGGCAGCUGUGGGGAAUAUUGCACAAGGGACGCAGGCCUGAUGCAGCGGCGCCGCGGAGGGGAUGACGGCCUUCUGGUUGUAAACUCCUUUCGCUAGGGGCGAGGCUUUUUGGGGCGGUACCUAGAUAAGAAACGCCGGCUAACUACGUG
rnacentral:rRNA from 1 species